AAUGCGGGCCGGGCCCCUCUGGCGUCGGCGGGAUAUUUCCCGCCACGUGAUGUCGGACCGCAUCG
rfam:Sphingopyxis sp. LC81 contig1, whole genome shotgun sequence.